rnacentral:rRNA from 1 species
GCAAGUUAUCAUAAUUUUGUGGGUAUUAUUAAUUAUAAGCAGGGCUGAGCCUGGUCAGUACCUGGAUGGGAGACCUCCUGGGAAAACUAGGUUGCUGCUGGAA